CCCACAAAACACUCCAGAGGGAAUCAGUCAAACACGUCUCCUCCUUGUGAAACUAGAAGGCGAGACUCCCCGUGAUGCAGAGUGAAGAAGGCUUCUGGCUUCAGUCCUUUCUGUUCCAGGGCCUCUCGGAGACGGACCGGUGGCUCCAGGCGAGAGCAAAGGUUCCCCAGUGAAUGGCCACAGACUGUUUGGCCUGGAGGUCUUGGUGAAUCUGAACAGCCUCUUCUGGAUCUACAUGCUGCCCCUGCAUCAUAUCCCUGGAAAACCAAAGGUCACACACAGAAGAAAGGACAGCGUUUUACACUCUGUGGCUACUCUAUUACAGUUCAACCCAACAUCUGCCAUAAACUCUACCUUUAAGUUCAUUAUCAGAUUUUGUUGACAUUGUUGGAAACUUCUGUUCAUUAAUGUUAUGUUUCAAAUGUUUGUCCUGCCCAUCAACAAACAUGAGGGGCAGAAUAUUAAAAACCCCUCCAUGUUAUGCAGUUCAGUACAACUCCAUCAUUGACAAAGACCUCAAAGCUAGAACAUAUAAUUGCAUUAACACCACUAUGACAAAAACUGGAGUGUAGUGUAUGUAAUGUACAGAACCUGGGCAGGUAUGCUCCGAUGGGGAUUGCUGCGAGGUCAAACGGUCCAAAGCGUCGUCCAAUCUCCUGGAAGGAAGAGCAGUAGCCGGUAUCACCAGCGAAGAAGAAUCGAUGGUCUGGACCCAAAAUAGACCAGCUGCCCCAUAAAGACUGAGAGAAAAAGGGUACAAGAUAAAGAGUUAUGUUUUGAACUAGAAAAUAAUUUUAAACAGCCUUUUUUUCUUCUUGAUUACUGAAAAAUGACCCAAGCAUUCAAGCCUCAGCUAUUGGAUUUAUAUGGUGGCAUUGACUUUUACAUGUCUUAUGUAUUUUUUGUGGAGAUUCUAUCAAACCAAAUAAAUACUAUUUAAAAAAAAGUAUACAUAAAAAGGUCAAAUCUAAUCAGUAUUUACUAAUAAGUAAUUAAUUAUCACCUUGUUAUCGUCCAGUGCGGUGCGUUUGCUCCAGUGCUGAGAGGGUGUGCAAACAAAUGUGAUGUCAUCAUGACCCGGGACACAGUUCUCCUCCCACCAAUCCAGCUCCAUCACGUUCUCACAGCCCAUCUUCAUCAGCCAGUCCAUCAAACCCAGGGGCACGAACCUGUGAAACACACAUUUGGACUUAAUGUAAAAAUGUCUGGCAUACUAAUUAAUACAAUUUGGUUGAGGGUAAGCUGACAACAUGAACUAUAAUUGAAAAAUAUAAUAAAGGAUAUUUCAAAACAA